GACGAACGCUGGCGGCGUGCUUAACACAUGCAAGUCGAACGGAAAGGCCCUGCUUUUGUGGGGUGCUCGAGUGGCGAACGGGUGAGUAACACGUGAGUAACCUGCCCCUGACUUUGGGAUAACUUCAGGAAACUGGGGCUAAUACCGGAUAGGAGCUCCUGCUGCAUGGUGGGGGUUGGAAAGUUUCGGCGGUUGGGGAUGGACUCGCGGCUUAUCAGCUUGUUGGUGGGGUAGUGGCUUACCAAGGCUUUGACGGGUAGCCGGCCUGAGAGGGUGACCGGCCACAUUGGGACUGGAAUGCGACCCAGACCCCUACGGGAGGCAGCAGUGGGGAAUAGUGCACAAUGGGCGGAAGCCUGAUGCAGCAACGCCGCGUGCGGGAUGACGGCCUUCGGGUUGUAAUCCGCUUUCGCCUGUGACGAAGCGUGAGUGACGGUAAUGGGUAAAGAAGCACCGGCUAACUACGUG
rnacentral:rRNA from 1 species